rnacentral:lncRNA from 1 species
UACUUUAUAUUGUGUUAUAAAGUCUUAACUACUUCCUUUUAUUUAAUCCAUAAACAACUCUAUGAAUUACACAUAGGAGUCAUGCACUUUAAUAUUAUAUAGUACAUUCUCAAUAUGGUAAAAUGGAGGCACGAAAUGCUUACAAAGCUAUAAUGUGACAGUUUAACCGUAACUGUUUCUUUCUCUAAACCUGUGCUAAACCUGUUUUUACAGUAUACAUUAAGGAAUAUACUGGAAAAUCCUAAACUAUUGCAGAAUGCAUCUUUGUUAUUGCUGUAGUAAUAAUAGACAUUCCCUGAACACAUCUUUUGUACUAAAGUUCUAAGUUUUUACAAGUAUUAAUGAACAACCUAACUAAAAUAUAAAAAUCAUUAUCUUCCUAAACAAGGAAUCUGGGCACAGAGUUAAGUACUUGGCCUCAGAUUAAGAAGUUGCAACUGGAAGCAGGAGUCCGAAGGAGGCAGACCAUCCCAGAGCCUUCCUGUGUAAUCCCUCCAGAGCCUCAGCUUUUCACGUCGCAGUGUGAAAAACUAAAGCCCAGGGAACCCUUCGGGCAGAAGCUGCAAAGGAUCCCAAGUGAUGGGUGAAGAAGACAGAUGUUUAUCUUCUGAGAUCACCUUAUUCAACAGAGCAUCAAAUCUUAAGAUCCCUAAGAUUAUUCAGGAACGAU